AAUGAACGCUGGCGGCAUGCCUUACACAUGCAAGUCGAACGGCAGCAUGACCUAGCUUGCUAGGUUGAUGGCGAGUGGCGAACGGGUGAGUAAUGCAUCGGAACGUGCCUUUUAGUGGGGGAUAACGUAGCGAAAGUUACGCUAAUACCGCAUAUUCUCUGAGGAGGAAAGCAGGGGACCUUCGGGCCUUGUGCUAGAAGAGCGGCCGAUGUCGGAUUAGCUAGUUGGUGAGGUAAAGGCUCACCAAGGCAACGAUCCGUAGCGGGUCUGAGAGGAUGAUCCGCCACACUGGGACUGAGACACGGCCCAGACUCCUACGGGAGGCAGCAGUGGGGAAUUUUGGACAAUGGGCGCAAGCCUGAUCCAGCCAUGCCGCGUGAGUGAAGAAGGCCUUCGGGUUGUAAAGCUCUUUCGGCGGGGAAGAAAUCGCACCUUCUAAUACAAGGUGUGGAUGACGGUACCCGCAUAAGAAGCACCGGCUAACUACGUGCCAGCAGCCGCGGUAAUACGUAGGGUGCGAGCGUUAUUCGGAAUUACUGGGCGUAAAGCGUGCGCAGGCGGUUGUGUAAGACAGACGUGAAAUCCCCGGGCUCAACCUGGGAACUGCGUUUGUGACUGCACGGCUAGAGUACGGCAGAGGGGGGUGGAAUUCCACGUGUAGCAGUGAAAUGCGUAGAGAUGUGGAGGAACACCGAUGGCGAAGGCAGCCCCCUGGGCCAGUACUGACGCUCAUGCACGAAAGCGUGGGGAGCAAACAGGAUUAGAUACCCUGGUAGUCCACGCCCUAAACGAUGUCAACUAGCUGUUGGUGGGGUUAAACCCAUUAGUAGCGUAGCUAACGCGUGAAGUUGACCGCCUGGGGAGUACGGCCGCAAGGUUAAAACUCAAAGGAAUUGACGGGGACCCGCACAAGCGGUGGAUGAUGUGGAUUAAUUCGAUGCAACGCGAAAAACCUUACCUACCCUUGACAUGCCAGGAACUUGCCAGAGAUGGCUUGGUGCCCGAAAGGGAGCCUGGACACAGGUGCUGCAUGGCUGUCGUCAGCUCGUGUCGUGAGAUGUUGGGUUAAGUCCCGCAACGAGCGCAACCCUUGUCAUUAGUUGCCAUCAUUCAGUUGGGCACUCUAAUGAGACUGCCGGUGACAAACCGGAGGAAGGUGGGGAUGACGUCAAGUCCUCAUGGCCCUUAUGGGUAGGGCUUCACACGUCAUACAAUGGUCGGUCCAGAGGGUUGCCAACCCGCGAGGGGGAGCUAAUCCCAGAAAGCCGAUCGUAGUCCGGAUCGCAGUCUGCAACUCGACUGCGUGAAGUCGGAAUCGCUAGUAAUCGCGGAUCAGCAUGCCGCGGGUGAAAUACGUUUCCCGGGGUCUUGUACACACCGGCCCGUCACACCAUGGGGAGCGGGGUUCCGCCCGAAAGUAAGGUAGCCCUAACCCGCAAGGGAGGGGCGCUUUACCACGGCCGGGGUUUCGUGGACUGGGGGUGAA
rnacentral:rRNA from 1 species